CAGAUGAGCCCUCUCAGCCAUCAAGGUUUCCAGAUGGCACAAGGUUUCCAAGGCACAAAUGGACCCCUGCUUAGACCCAAGAGGGGUGGCAUUCAGCUACCUGGAGAACCAGAAGAAAACAACUGUUGUGUCUAAACCUGCUGUGACCCAGUUAAAGGACAUCCAUGGCUUGCCACAGGCUUUGGGACAGCUGGUUUUAGCUCUAGGAGAGACACUGUUUGUGUUUCACUCCAGAUCCUCAGUGGUACUCAGGAGACUGAGGCAUUGCCUGUGUGGGAAGAGUGCCAAGAGCAGCAACAAGCCCUUCCCAUCUGUUCCGGGAAAACACAGACCUAUUUCAGACUGUACUGGUUUAUCUGCCCUAAAUCUCUUUGACUCCCACAACCAGAACAGGCCAUCCUACAAACUGCCUCCUGCCUCUCUACAACCCCAUUGAGUGGGAAAGGAGCGGGAAGAGGACCUGAAUCCAGGUUUGAUAAUGCAAGGUGACUGAAUUUGUUGCACCUAGUGAGAGGAGUUCCAGCUUGCUUCUACCAGAAAAAGAUGUGUCAUUGAUUUCACUGCCUCCCCUUCUGUCUGUCUGUCAUCCAUCAUGCCCUCCCCAGCAACAUUUUAGUUGGCUGGAUGUUCUUAAACACCACCCAAUGCAACAAUGCUCCCAAAGGUGUUCCUGAAAGAUUCAGUAGCAUCAGCAUCUGGGUAUAGACAGAACAAACCCAAGAUUCACUAGCUCUGCUGCUCACAGAGUGGCUUAUAAUAGUGUAAAUAUGUUUAAUACCUUACUGCUUCUGCCCUAGAG